rnacentral:tRNA from 1 species
GUCGCAGUGGCGUAAUGGUUAGCGCACGAGCCUCGAAUUGGCGCGAGAUGCGAGUUCGAAUCCCGCCUGAGAUG